ACUGGAAACACCCUCCGAGAGUUGAUUGCCACACACUUGGAUAUCAAUGCUUUCUUGUUGUGCAUUCAUUAUUCAACCAAAAAGAGAAAAAAAAUAACAACCAAAUCGUAUAAUUAUGCUUUAUAAAAUACUGGACCUGUUAAGCAGAAUGGUAUGAAAAAUACUGGAAACAGCCUCCCUGAGUUGAUUGCCAAACACUUGGAUAUCAAUGCUUUCUUGUUGUGCAUUCAUUAUUCAACCAAAAAGAG